GACGAACGCUGGCGGCGUGCUUAACACAUGCAAGUCGAACGGAAAGGCCCUUCGGUGUCCUCGAGUGGCGAACGGGUGAGUAACACGUUGGUGAUCUGCCCUCCUCUCUGGGAUAAGCCUGGGAAAUUGGGUCUAAUACCGUAUAAGCGCACGAUCUUCAUGGCGUGUGGGUGCAAACGUUUGCGGUGUGGGAUGGGCCCGCGGCCUAUAAACUUGUUGGGCGGGUACUGGCCGACCAAGGCGCGGACGGGUAAGCCGCCUGUGCGGGGGACCGGGCACACGGGGACUGAGAGACGGCCCAGACUCCUACGGGAGGCAGCAGGGGGGAAUAUGGCGCAACGAGCGCAAGCCUGAUGCAGCGACGCUGCGUGCGUGAUGACGGCCUUCGGGUUGUAAACAUCUGUCAAUAGGGACGAAGCGCAAGUGACGGUACCUAAAGAAGAAGCACCGGCCAACUACGUG
rnacentral:rRNA from 1 species